AGAACUUUCGUAAUAGCACUAUGGCCAAUCCUUUAAUACUACCGGUCAAAUUUAGGCCUCGAACUAACAUCGAGGUAGGAGAACAAAUAAGACAGCCGCAGGCACCACUACUGCAGCAAGAGCAGCAAACGCAAUUGCAGCAGGUUAGGAUGCGCCGGGCGCCCUACGAAACUAGACAGCAACAAUUUGAUUUUAGUGACUGUUCUG
rnacentral:misc_RNA from 1 species